rnacentral:rRNA from 1 species
UACGAAGGGGGCUAGCGUUGCUCGGAAUUACUGGGCGUAAAGCGCACGUAGGCGGAUUGUUAAGUCAGGGGUGAAAUCCUGGAGCUCAACUCCAGAACUGCCUUUGAUACUGGCGAUCUCGAGUCCGGGAGAGGUGAGUGGAACUGCGAGUGUAGAGGUGAAAUUCGUAGAUAUUCGCAAGAACACCAGUGGCGAAGGCGGCUCGCUGGCCCGAUACUGACGCUGAGGCACGAAAGCGUGGGGAGCAAACAGG